UGUUUUUCAGCUCAUGAUGCAUGUGUGUUCCUCAUAAAUUGGUUUAAAAGAUACCCGCAUUACAAGGCCAGAGACUUCUAUAUAACCGGUGAAAGCUAUGCAGAUAGGAAAUGGGAUAAUGAAUGAUGAAACAGAUGCGAGAGGAACGUACGAUUAGAUAUGGAGCCACGCAUUGAUAUCAGACGAAACUCAUAGCGGACUCAUACACCACUGCUUGCCUUCCUAAAAUUACACCCCAAAGUACUCAGAGAUUGGUAACAUAGAUUAUUACAAAAUCUAUGCCCCACUGUGUUUGGACAUUAUUACCUCAAACUCAUCCAAAAAAAAUGGUAAACGCAGCAGAGGAGGAAGGUGUGGUCCCUGUGAAGAAGCUUAUGUUCAGAGAUAUCUCAAUCUUCCUCAAGUUCAGAAAGCUUUGCAUGCCAACACUACUCAACUCCCCUACACUUGGAAAACUUGCAGUGGGGUGAUUAGUAAUUGGAAGGAUAGUCUAUCAAGCAUGUUCCCCAUAUAUAGAAGGCUCAUUGCCUCUGGGCUUCAAUUCUUCUUUUCAGUGGGGACGUGGAUGCAGUGGUUCCGGCGACUGCCACUCGAUAUUCCAUAGAUGCGUUAAACCUUAAAGUAAUCAAACCUUGGAAUCCUUGGUCAGAUGAUAAUGGACAAGUA